UGGAAAGUUCUGCAAAUGAAAGCAAAUGGAUCUUGAAGGCUUGGUCACAUAUAUCUAUAUAUCCUGCGAACAACCAAAAGCAGCUAUCGUGUUGGGCUCAGGAUGUAAAGUGGACCAUGCAUCCAUGACUGGGGAAGAGAAGAUAAUCAGAAGAUCAAGAUUUAGAACUCUGAGCUACUUCUCUAGCACCGUGUCUGCCUGUGUACCACCUGCCAUGAUAACAGCCUAAAUCUCUGAACUGUAAGCCACCCUAAUUAAAUAUUUUCCUUUGUAAGGGUUGCAGUGUUUGUGGUAUCUCUUCAAACAAUAGAAACCCUCAGACACUCCCUAUCUCCUCUUCUCCCAAG